UUUAUGGAGAGUUUGAUCCUGGCUCAGGAUGAACGCUGGCGGCGUGCCUAAUACAUGCAAGUCGAGCGAACAGACGAGGAGCUUGCUCCUUUGACGUUAGCGGCGGACGGGUGAGUAACACGUGGGUAACCUACCUAUAAGACUGGGAUAACUUCGGGAAACCGGAGCUAAUACCGGAUAAUAU
rnacentral:rRNA from 1 species